rnacentral:rRNA from 1 species
UGCGCAGGCGGUUAUAUAAGUCAGAUGUGAAAUCCCCGGGCUCAACCUGGGAACUGCAUUUGAGACCGUAUAGCUAGAGUACGGUAGAGGGGGAUGGAAUUCCGCGUGUAGCAGUGAAAUGCGUAGAUAUGCGGAGGAACACCGAUGGCGAAGGCAAUCCCCUGGACCUGUACUGACGCUCAUGCACGAAAGCGUGGGGAGCAAACA